CAGUCGCCGCGGGAAUACGUAGGUGGCAAGCGUUGUCCGGAAUUAUUGGGCGUAAAGCGCGCGCAGGCGGAUAGGUCAGUCUGUCUUAAAAGUUCGGGGCUUAACCCCGUGAUGGGAUGGAAACUGCCAAUCUAGAGUAUCGGAGAGGAAAGUGGAAUUCCUAGUGUAGCGGUGAAAUGCGUGGAUAUUAGGAAGAACACCAGUGGCGAAGGCGACUUUCUGGACGAAAACUGACGCUGAGGCGCGAAAGCCAGGGGAGCGAACGGGAUUAGAUACCCCAGUAGUCCCUGUCUCUUAUACA
rnacentral:rRNA from 1 species